UAACGCGUGGAUAACCUGCCCCAUACCGGGGGAUAACAGCCGGAAACGGCUGCUAAUACCGCAUAAGCGCACGAGGCUGCAUGGCCCUGUGUGAAAAACUCCGGUGGUAUGGGAUGGAUCCGCGUCUGAUUAGCUAGUUGGUGAGAUAAAAGCCCACCAAGGCGACGAUCAGUAGCUGGCCUGAGAGGGCGGACGGCCACAUUGGGACUGAGACACGGCCCAGACUCCUACGGAAGGCAGCAG
rnacentral:rRNA from 1 species